UACAGAGGGUGCAAGCGUUGUUCGGAAUUAUUGGGCGUAAAGGGCGCGUAGGCGGCGGAGUAAGUUGGGUGUGAAAUCCCGGGGCUUAACCUCGGAAUUGCAUUCAAUACUGCUUCGCUUGAGUACUGGAGAGGAGGCUGGAAUUGACGGUGUAGCAGUGAAAUGCGUAGAUAUCGUAAGGAAGGCCGGUGGCGAAAGCGAGCCUCUGGACAGUUACUGACACUGAUGCACGAAGGCCAGGGGAGCAAACGGG
rnacentral:rRNA from 1 species